AUGCCUCCCAGCCUCUGCCGCCGCCCCGCGCGACGGACGCCAUCCCUCCCCUAUUUCCCUCUUCACCUCCACGGCCACGCCGCGUCGCCGCCCGAGCCCCACUGCGGUCGCUAUGAUCCGCCGCGCCGCCCCACACCCGAAGCUGCAGUUGAGAUGCAUCUGAGCGAGAACGAGGGGAUCGAGGGCGUGCGGUUCGCGGUGACUGGCGGGCAGGGCUUCGUCGGCGCCGCGCUAUGCCUAGAGUUGAUCCGCCGCGGCGCCCUGGAGGUCUGCUCCCUCGACGGCUCGACCUGCGCGAUUCCUCCUCUUGGUCCCAGCAGCUCCUCGACGCCAGUGUCCGCUUCUUCCAAGGCAAUGAGGGAAGUAGAUGGGCAUGGCUGA
rnacentral:rRNA from 1 species